GAUACUCGACGAGGGGGUCGAG
rnacentral:snRNA from 1 species